AAUGAACGCUGGCGGCGUGCUUAACACAUGCAAGUCGAACGAGAAAGGCUGAUUUCGGUUGGCCGAGUAAAGUGGCGCACGGGUGAGUAACGCGUAGGUAACCUACCCUUGUAUCUGGAAUAACCCCGCGAAAGCGGUGCUAAUACCGGAUACGAUCCCGGGGCGGGAGUUUCGGGAUGAAAGUCGGCCUCUCGCAGAAGCUGACGUACGAGGAUGGGCCUGCGUCCUAUCAGCUGGUUGGUGGGGUAGCGGCCCACCAAGGCGACGACGGGUAGCUGGUCUGAGAGGAUGAUCAGCCACACUGGCACUGGAACACGGGCCAGACUCCUACGGGAGGCUG
rnacentral:rRNA from 1 species